AUUGAACGCUGGCGGCAGGCCUAACACAUGCAAGUCGAGCGGAUGAAGGGAGCUUGCUCCUGGAUUCAGCGGCGGACGGGUGAGUAAUGCCUAGGAAUCUGCCUGGUAGUGGGGGAUAACGUCCGGAAACGGGCGCUAAUACCGCAUACGUCCUGAGGGAGAAAGUGGGGGAUCUUCGGACCUCACGCUAUCAGAUGAGCCUAGGUCGGAUUAGCUAGUUGGUGGGGUAAAGGCCUACCAAGGCGACGAUCCGUAACUGGUCUGAGAGGAUGAUCAGUCACACUGGAACUGUGACACGGUCCAGACUCCUACGGGAGGCAGCAGUGGGGAAUAUUGGACAAUGGGCGGAAGCCUGAUCCAGCCAUGCCGCGUGUGUGAAGAAGGUCUUCGGAUUGUAAAGCACUUUAAGUUGGGAGGAAGGGCAGUAAGUUAAUACCUUGCUGUUUUGACGUUACCAACAGAAUAAGCACCGGCUAACUUCGUG
rnacentral:rRNA from 1 species